AGGGAUGUAGCUCAAAGGUAGAGUACUUGUCUAACAUGCACAAAGCCCUGGAUUAAAUCCCCAGCAUCUCAA
rnacentral:tRNA from 1 species